CGUGAGGGAAAGGCGAAAAGAACCCCGGCGAGGGGAGUGAAAAAGAACCUGAAACCGUGUACGUACAAGCAGUGGGAGCACAGGUUUACCUGUGUGACUGCGUACCUUUUGUAUAAUGGGUCAGCGACUUAUAUUCUGUAGCAAGGUUAACCGAAUAGGGGAGCCGGAGGGAAACCGAGUCUUAAUUGGGCGUUAAGUUGCAGGGUAUAGACCCGAAACCCGGUGAUCUAGCCAUGGGCAGGUUGAAGGUUGGGUAACACUAACUGGAGGACCGAACCGACUAAUGUUGAAAAAUUAGCGGAUGACCUGUGGCUGGGGGUGAAAGGCCAAUCAAACCGGGAGAUAGCUGGUUCUCCCCGAAAGCUAUUUAGGUAGCGCCUCGUGAAUUCAUCUCCGGGGGUAGAGCACUGUUUCGGCUAGGGGGCCAUCCCGGCUUACCAACCCGAUGCAAACUGCGAAUACCGGAGAAUGUUAUCACGGGAGACACACGGCGGGUGCUAACGUCCGUCGUGAAGAGGGAAACAACCCAGACCGCCAGCUAAGGUCCCAAAGUCAUGGUUAAGUGGGAAACGAUGUGGGAAGGCCCAGACAGCCAGGAUGUUGGCUUAGAAGCAGCCAUCAUUUAAAGAAAGCGUAAUAGCUCACUGGUCGAGUCGGCCUGCGCGGAAGAUGUAACGGGGCUAAACCAU
rnacentral:rRNA from 2 species